rnacentral:rRNA from 1 species
GUACGUAGGUGGACCAGCGUUGUCCGGAUUUACUGGGCGUAAAGAGCGCGCAGGCGGUCGUUCAAGUCGAGUGUGAAAGCCCCCGGCUCAACUGGGGAGGGUCACUCGAUACUGAUCGACUUGAAGGCAGGAGAGGGAAGUGGAAUUCCGUGGUGUAGCGGUGAAAUGCGCAGAUAUCAGGAAGAACACCCGUGGCUAAGGCGGCUCUCUAGUACGGUACUGACGCUGAGACGCGAAAGCGUGGGGGAGCGAACAGG